GAGUAAUAUAUCGGAACGUACCCAAGAGUGGGGGAUAACGUAGCGAAAGUUACGCUAAUACCGCAUACGAUCUAAGGAUGAAAGCAGGGGAUCUUCGGACCUUGUGCUCCUGGAGCGGCCGAUAUCUGAUUAGCUAGUUGGUGAGGUAAAGGCUCACCAAGGCUACGAUCAGUAGCUGGUCUGAGAGGACGACCAGCCACACUGGAACUGAGACACGGUCCAGACUCCUACGGGAGGCAGCAGUGGGGAAUUUUGGACAAUGGGCGAAAGCCUGAUCCAGCAAUGCCGCGUGAGUGAAGAAGGCCUUCGGGUUGUAAAGCUCUUUUGUCAGGGAAGAAACGGUGAGGGCUAAUAUCCUUCGCUAAUGACGGUACCUGAAGAAUAAGCACCGGCUAACUACGUGCCAGCAGCCGCGGUAAUACGUAGGGUGCAAGCGUUAAUCGGAAUUACUGGGCGUAAAGCGUGCGCAGGCGGUUUUGUAAGUCUGACGUGAAAUCCCCGGGCUCAACCUGGGAAUUGCGUUGGAGACUGCAAGGCUAGAAUCUGGCAGAGGGGGGUAGAAUUCCACGUGUAGCAGUGAAAUGCGUAGAGAUGUGGAGGAACACCGAUGGCGAAGGCAGCCCCCUGGGUCAAGAUUGACGCUCAUGCACGAAAGCGUGGGGAGCAAACAGGAUUAGAUACCCUGGUAGUCCACGCCCUAAACGAUGUCUACUAGUUGUCGGGUUUUAAUUAACUUGGUAACGCAGCUAACGCGUGAAGUAGACCGCCUGGGGAGUACGGUCGCAAGAUUAAAACUCAAAGGAAUUGACGGGGACCCGCACAAGCGG
rnacentral:rRNA from 1 species